rnacentral:rRNA from 1 species
GAUGAACGCUAGCGGCAGGCCUAAUACAUGCAAGUCGAACGGUCCACUUCGGUGGAUAGUGGCGCACGGGUGCGUACCACGUAUCCAACCUGUCUUACAUUGGCGGCUAGCCUUUCGCAAGGGAGCUUACUACCGCAUAAGACAGUAACAUGGCAUGUGGUAGCUGUUAAAGAUUUAUCGAUGUAAGCUGGGCAUGCGUCCAAUUAGUUAGUUGGUGAGGUACUGGCUGACCAAGACGAUGAGGAGUAGGGGAACUGAGAGGUAAAUCCCCCACACUGGAACUGAGAAACGGGCCAGACUCCUACGGGAGGCAGCAGUAGGGAAUAUUGGGCAAUGGACGCAAGUCUGACCCAGCCAUGCGGCGUGCAGGAAGAAGGCGUUCUGCGUUGUAAACUGCUUUUAUAUAGGAAGAAACGACCCUUGCGAGGGGCAUUGACGGUAUUAUAUGAAUAAGCACCGGCUAACUCCGUGCCAGCCGCCGCGGUAAUAC